UACGUAGGGGGCGAGCGUUAUCCGGAUUUACUGGGCGUAAAGCGCGUUAAGGCGGUCGGCAAAGUUGGUUGUGAAAUCUCAGGGCUCAACCCUGAAAUUGCGACCAAUACUGGUCGACUAGAGUGCAAGAGAGGAAGGUGGAAUUCCCGGUGUAGUAGUGAAAUGCGUAGAUAUCGGGAGGAACACCAGUGGCGAAGGCGGCCUCUGGCUUGUAACUGACGCUGUAGCGCGAAAGCGUGGGGAGCGAACCGG
rnacentral:rRNA from 1 species